GACGAACGCUGGCGGCAGGCUUAACACAUGCAAGUCGAACGGAAGGGGCCUGCUUGUGUGGGGUGCUCGAGGGGCAAGGGUGUGAGUAACACAGGAGUAACCUGGCCUGUGCGUGGGGAUGACUGGAGAAGAGUGGUGCUAAUGCAGAAGACGAGCUCCUGAUGCAGGGGGGGGGUUGGAAAGUUUCGGCGGUGGGGGGUGGACGCGCGGCUUAUCAGCUUGUGGGUGGGGUAGUGGCUUACCAAGGCUUUGACGGGUAGCCGGCCUGAGAGGGUGACCGGCGACAUUGGGACUGAGAUACGGCCCAGACUCCUACGGGAGGCAGCAGUGGGGAAUAUUGCACAGUGGGCGGAAGCCUGAUGCAGAAAUGCCGCGUGCGGGAUGAAGGCCUUCGUGUUGUAAACCGCUUUCGCCUGUGACGAAGCGUGAGUGACGGUACUGGGUAAAGAAGCACCGGCUAACUACGUG
rnacentral:rRNA from 1 species